rnacentral:lncRNA from 1 species
AUGACUUACCGGCGGUGGCUCCGCGGCGUGCGCCCUGCCAGGAGGGGCCUGUGCUCGAGGAGCAGGCCUGGCGAGUAGCCCAGCCACUCCACGUUGAGCCGGGACUUGCCGCGCAACAUGGUCCUCCUGGGCGGGCGGCGGCUACGCCGCCCCCUGAACUCGCGUGAACACUGGUCCUCGUCUGCGUCUCGGUCGCUGAGCUGGGGGCCGCAAGGAGACCCGAGCAUAUGAGCCGCGAAGAGGGACUACCAGCCAGAGGGCUGUGGUGCUAGGCAACUGAGCGUAUUCCGCCGACGACAACACAAAAAAGCAGUGCGCAUUAUUUCGCCACUACUUGAGCAAAUAAAUGCCUCAUUAAUUACUGCCCGCAGUGGUAGGAAGUCAAGCCCUUGGCAGCUGGGAGGAGUUAAAACACUCACCCGAGUCCGUAAAACUAGAGAAUGUCAGAGUUCAAAGAGCUCUUGCUGAGAAUGACUGUUCCAGACUCGAUGCCAGUGACCCCCAACUUCCACUUAAAAGUUAAAAACAUAUUUUGCAGCUGCUCAGAAAGCCGCCAAUGAGACAACAGGGACUCAAAUAGUAAGAACAGAUGGGCCUCCCGGGCCUGCGCAACCCGAGAGAGGUAAAAACGAAAGGGUGGGUAAGUCUGGAGUCAGGCUUGACAAAAUUAAGUUGCCACUGGCUGCUAAUAAGAGGACAGCCCUUAACAUGGUCAGCGCCUGGAAAGGGCCGCUGACCACACAGCUAUUUUCUGCACCACAUGGAUACAAAGACCACAUCUGAAAUCAUGACUAAACCAGCAGCUUAGAGUGGUGGAAAGGGCAAUGGACUGGGCAGCAGGAAGUCCAGGUUUUAGUUCAAACUGAAUAAUCCCCCUCUAGGGCUGACUGUGCUGGCUCACGCCUGUAAUCUCAACACUUUGGGAAGCUGAGGCAGGAGGAUUGCGUGAGGCCAGUAGUUCCAGAGCAGCUUGGGCAGCAUAGCAAGACUCCGUCUCUAAAAAACAAACUGUAAAAUAUUUAAUAAAAAUAAUAGUAAUCUCUAUCUGGGCCUCAUCUAGACCUUUAGGUGAGUAAGAACCACCUAAUGUAAGAACUUGGGGUACAAAGAGAAUCUAGCUCUGGGGUAGGCAAACUGAGCCAGCCGACCUAAUACAUGGAGCCUACCACCUGUUUUUCUACAGCCCUGAGGUAGAAAUAGUGAAACUAAGGGAAAUUUCAGUCUGGUGAGGACCUCACAAUGCCCCUUGCCUCCUGACUCUUGAAUGCCCUAAAAUUUACAUCAGGCUACCUCUUCCAGCUCUAUCUGCCAGAUAGCUAAGCUGGGAUCUCUGAGCUGGUGAAGGGACUUGCCCAUGGAGUCAAGGAAUGCUCAGGGUUCAUGCCUCAGGACUGUUCUCACCAACUUGACUCACCUUUGGGGCUCUAGUGGAGCCCGUGGGCCUUCCGGCAAACAGAAGUAGGCAAUGGGGGUCAGGAAAUGGCCCCCACUGCCUGUCCAGCGUGGUGCCAGCUCAGCCUAGGAUCCCAUGUCCCCUGGCACACCAGUGGUUUGAUAUAACCAGAGGAUCUCCUGCCCAUGAGGGGCGGCAGCGCUCCAGUUACCAACCCCCAAGUGAAAGAUCCUGGAUCAAGUCUUUCCUGAUUGGCCUGCACCCAGAGGCUACGCUACCAGAAGAGGAACUGGACAAGGGCACACCCCAAGAUAUACACGCGUUUUUUCCUUGAAAGGCCCAGGCUUUGAGGAGGCGAUCGCAACCAGUGGGCUGAAUAAAAGAGCAAGUGUCGGCACGGAGAGAGCUAGGCCCGGGCUCACCAAGACAUAGAGCCCGAGGGUUCUGAAAACACUGUUCACGGUGGAGCACGAGGCUCGAGCGCCAGAGACCUCGGAGUUGGGUUUCCACGUGGUUAUUCCCAGCGCCAAGUGGGCGGGGCAGGGGAGGGCGGGGCAAGGCCUCCUCCCAGCUUGGGCCACUCUGAUUGGUCCGCAGCAGCAUGUCUUUCCUGGCGAGUCUGGGCAGGCCAAGCAGCCCCGCCCACCCGCAGCCCAACGCAAAGGGGCGGGACCUAGAGCUGGCUGCAGACUGAGCGCCUUGCACCCAGCAGGUGUCGGGGUGAAAUCAGAGUGUCUAGCCCCUCAUCCCGUGGAGGCUGGCACCCUCGGCCUGAGCUGCACUCAUUGAGUAAACAAAUACAUAAUUGGUGAAUGCGUGAGUGGGUGAGAGAAAUCGAAGGGAAAACCCAAAAUUCUUCCAGGAUUUCAAUGAGAAAUAGCUAUAGAUUUUGUUUUGGUUGUUUUCGCUGUUCUCGGUUCUUACUUUUUCCAUAAUUGGGUGGAAAAAGUUAGAAACACUCGAGAGAGGAAGAAACUGCAAGAGGCAAAUGAAACCCAGGAGAAGCAAGGCAAGGAGGAGCUGGUGAUUCGAGAAUGUGUAAUAAAAAGACGUAAAAGAUGAAUAAAGUGCUCCAGGCCCGGGCAUGCCUGGCCCUUGGCUUCUUGGCUGAGUGGUCCCAGGCUGCACCUCUAGCUCCUGUCCUGGGAAGAAGAAAUCGCCUUACAAGAGGGGCGGAGUGAAGGGAGUGUAUGUGCUAGCGUGUGGGGCUGUGUGUAUGAGUGUGUGUGCAUUUGAGUAUGUGAGUGUGCUUCACUGUGUGUGUGAGGGUAUGUGUGACUGUGUGUGUGUACGCGCGCACGCAUGUGAGUUUGUCUACAUCAUUGGGGGAAAUAUAAUUAAAAACAAAAUCUUCUCCCAGCCCAGAUAACCUCUCCAUAAAGGUAGAAGAGAAAGAAAACAAUUUUCUUGAAUAAACAUUAAAUCAGAAUGUGAUAUGAAUCACAGGCAGCCAGCUAAAAGUAUUGCAAGGACAGAAAGAAACCUCACACUAGGCAUACCUCAGAGGUAUUGCAGUUUGGUUGCAGACCAGCACAAUAAAGCGAAUAUUGCAAUAAAGCAAGUCACGUAAUUUUUUUGGUUUCUCAGUUCAUAUGAAAGUUACGUUUAUACUAUAGUAUAGUCUGUUAGGUGUACAGUAACAUUAUGUCUAAAAGUAACGUACAUACCUUAAUUUAAAAAUACUUUAUUGCUAGAAAAUGCUAAUGAUCAUCUGAGGCUUCAUCUAGUGGUAAUUUUUUUGCUGGUGUAGGGUCUUGCCUCCAUGUGGAUGGCUGCUGACUGAUCAGGGUGGUACUUGCUGAAGGUUGGAGUGGCUGUGGUAAUUUCUUAAAAUAAGAUGACUAUGAAGUUUGCUGCAUCGACUGACUCUUCAUUUCAUGAAAGAUUUUUCUGUAGUUUGCAAUGCUGUUUGAUAGCAUUUUAUCCACGGAACUUCUUUCAAAACUGGAGUCAGUCCUCUCAAACACUGUUGCCACUUUAUCAGCUGUUUAUAAAAUAUUCUAAGUACUUUGCUGUCAUUUUAACAAUAUUCACAACAUCUUCACCAGGAGUAGAUUCCAUUUCAAGAAACCCCUUCCUUUGUUCAUCCAUAAGAAGCAACGCCUCAUCUGUUUAAGUUUGAUCAUGAGAUUGCAGCAAUUCAGUCACAUCUUCAGGCUCCACUUUUAAUUCCAGUUCUCUUGCUAUAUCCUCCACACCUGCAGUGACUUCCCCCACUGAAGUCUUGAACCCUUCAGAGUCAUCCACGAGGGUUGGAAUCAACUUCUUUUACUCUCCUAUUAUUGUUGAUGUUUUGACUUCUUAUGAAUCAUGUAUGUUCUCAACAACAUCUAGAAUGAUGAGUCCUUUUCAGAAGGUUUUCAAUUUACUUUACCCAGAUCCAUCAUAGGAAUCAGUAUCUAUGGCAGCUGUAGCCUCACAAAAUGUAUUUCUUAGAUAAUGUACUAGAAAGUCAGAAUUACUCCUUGAUUCAUAGGCAGCAGAAUGGACGUGUUGACAGGCAUGAAAACAACAUUAAUAUCCUUGUACAUUUCCAUCAGAGCUCUCGGGUGACUAGAUGCAUUGUUAAUGAGCAGUAAUAUUUUGAAAGGAAUCUCUCUGGUUUCUGAGCAGAAAGUCUCAACAGUGGGCUUAAAAUAGUCAGUAAACCAUACUGUAAACAGAUGUGCUGUCAUCCAAGUUCUGUCCUUCCAUUUAUAGAGCACAGGCAGAGUAGAUUUAGCAUAGUUUUUAAAGGCCCCAGGAUUUUUGGAAUGGUAAAUAAGCAUUGGCUUCAACUUAAAGUCACUAGCUGCAUUACCUCUAAUAAGAGAGUCGGCCUAUCCUUUGAAGCUUUGAAGUCAGGUAACAGUGGAGGUUAGGCCCAUCUUCUUCCAGGAAACUGGGAGAUCAGACAUUAUCUUUCUUGAUAAUCACAUUACAAAAAGAUGGCUCCCAGGUCCCCGAGGAAACAUUCUUAACUUAUGAUAGUGGCAAGAGGGUUAUGUAAUCACCGAGAAGAUUUAUAUACAUUUGAAAACAACAGAAAAAGAAAUGCUUUAAUAAAAUGGAGCAGGAGGAGUCACUUAUUUUUCAACAGGAAGAAUUAAGUAUCUUAAUUUGUAUUUGCCUUUACAACAUAGAUGUGCUAAAAGCCAAGAAGUGUGUGGGUGUGUGUGUAUGUGUGUGUGUGUCCUACCCAAAAUGUGGCCCCACCAUACCCACCUCUCCAGGGUGCUCUCCCACACACAGUUCCUCCCGUCCCUGCACCCUCCAUACUGUCCCUUCACCACACACACAGCUUGGAUGACUUUCUAGGAAAACCAAAACAUGCUGAUCCUCAGUGGGCUUGUGCUGUGUCUGCCUCUGAAGUGCUGCUGCUGCCCCCAUUUCUGCCACCUCCCAAGUGCCAUCUCUUUUUUCAGCAUCUCCUAUGGCAUUUGGGCCUACAAGUUAGAACUUGAUCUCUUCUAACUCCUAUUACAACUAGUUGGGACUUCUAGUCUCUCCCACUAGACUGUACACUAGUUGGGGAGAGGAGGACAUGGCUGGUGGCUUUUUUAUCUCUGUGCUACCCACAGCACAGGUUUUGAACACGUAUCCUCAAUCAAAGUUGUGACAUUGAGUUGCAGUGAGAAUCUUACUAGGGCCACCUUUCUGGCUCCCAUCCCUCACCUCCAACCCUCACCCACCCUGUUUCUGCUCCUCUGCCCACUAAACUCUGCUGUUAUAAGAACUCUUAUAACCUAGUGGUUAAGGAAGGGUUGAGGAAUAUAUUGAAGCCAGAAGAAGGAGAAUUUACAAAAUGUGUUCCCAGUGUAAUUCCCCAUCAGAUUCCUUAGGGUACAUAUCUGAUCUAGUGCACUUAAAAUGCACAUUACCUUGGGAGUGUCACCUCCACUUUGGUGCCUCAUGUUCCAUUUAGACAUAUGACACUGGCACUGGGCUUUCCAUAGGUCUCAGGGCUGGGCCCAGACAGCCAGAAUUCCCUACCUCACCUCUCAAAAAGGCCCCGAGAGCUGCAAGACAAAUUAGAGCAGGUGUUGCCUCUAGGAAUGCAUGGGGCCAUAGAAGCACACACUACCACACACACACAAAAAUCCUUUCUAGAAUUGCAGACUGCCAACUGGUAAUCCAGCCUCUAUAUCCCCCCUGCCCUCCAGGAACAAGGAGCUCAGUGUCUUUCAAGAUAGUGUACUAGCAUGUCUUGCCUCCAUGAGUAGUCCAUUGGUGGCAGAGGUCAGCAUAAGUGUCCUCUGUCCCCAUUCAGGAUGCUCACCUCUGUUAACCUUGCCCGAGACUUGUCGGUGACCACAUCACACUGCCUUGACCUGACUGUCAACAAGCCCCCCAAAUAUCUAUGCAAGCACUGCCAAGUCUUCUCUGACCUGCCCCCAGUGGAUUUUUUAGACCCAAAUGUGUGUCCCCACAUUGAUCCUUGGUGCAUCUCACCUAUAAGUCCACAAGGAAGACACACAGGACCCAGUGGGAAAGCAGCCAGGUUGCAGUGCAACGAACUAGACUUGGAGUUGAAGGCCUGCACUUGAAUCUGGGUUCCCCCACCAUUUUCUAGCUGUGGGAUCAUGGACAAGACACUAUCUCUUUCUGAACAUUUGUUUAUCUUAUCUGGAAAUGGUUUAUUAUGAGGAUCUGAUGACCUAAUGGGUGCAGUAGUCACCUGAUCAACUGCAAAGACCUGAUGAAAGCAGCAGCUUGGCCAUAGGAGAAAAUAACUGGACUGGAGGUAAAAAGAUCUGAGAGCAAGUGUGUCUCUGGGCUCCGGUGUGACCUCAUCAAGUGUCAGAACUAGAUGAGGGUGGGACUAGAGGGACUCUAACUAUUAGACUUUUCGAGCUGUGGUUUAAUGGCAUUUGUCCCCUUUGUGGGCAGUGGGUGGAGCAGAGGGGUUCUUGCCCUAGGGUGGAGGAGGGGAUGGAUUACUCUAGAUGACUAGUCCCUUCCUCCACAAAGUGGAUGAUUUUGUGUUCUCUGAGCCUGUGGUGAGAUCACGCAUAUUUUUUAUAGCACCUAGUACAGACUUGUGUACACAGUUGGGCUUAGCUGAAUGAAUGAAUGAAUCUUUCUUUCUUCAUAUAACAGGGAAGGCCUGUAAUGGGCUGUUAUCCUUGGCCCCUGACACUAGGGUAAUGAUGGCAUCCCACGGUAAAACAUUUUUGUGUGUAAAUAUCACUUAAGUCUGCACAGCAGUUGUCAAACAGUGAGGCCCUGACAGAAGCCAGUGCACCAACCUGGAAACAUUUUUAUGGUAAUCAUUUUCCUACAGAACUCAGAGCUUCAAAAGGAGGGCAUUCAGAUACUCCCCUAGAAGGUUGCAGCUGGAAGGAACUUUCAAGAUCACAGAAUCCCGCCCCUUCACUUCCCAGAUGGUGAAGCACCAGCUGCAGGGGGUGAGGAGAGGGGUGCCUUCCCUGGCCCGAAGCCUGGCUCAUAGUAGGAACAUACCAGAGGCUUGCUGCUGCAUGCCUGCCUGCUUGACAGUGUGCCAAGUUAGGCCAUAACAGUGGGGUGAGAAACCAGCCACUAACCAGGCAAGGCAGCAGGGCCCAAAUUAGACCUAGGAGUGGCUGGAGGUAAGAAAUCAAUAUAAACAGGAGCUGGAAAUGAGACCAUGUGGAGAG